AUUGAACGCUGGCGGCAGGCCUAACACAUGCAAGUCGAGCGGAUGAAGGGAGCUUGCUCCUGGAUUCAGCGGCGGACGGGUGAGUAAUGCCUAGGAAUCUGCCUGGUAGUGGGGGAUAACGUCCGGAAACGGGCGCUAAUACCGCAUACGUCCUGAGGGAGAAAGUGGGGGAUCUUCGGACCUCACGCUAUCAGAUGAGCCUAGGUCGGAUUAGCUAGUUGGUGGGGUAAAGGCCUACCAAGGCGACGAUCCGUAACUGGUCUGAGAGGAUGAUCAGUCACACUGGAACUGAGACACGGUCCAGACUCCUACGGGAGGCAGCAGUGGGGAAUAUUGGGCAAUGGGCGAAAGCCUGAUCCAGCAAUGCCGCGUGUGUGAAGAAGGUCUUCGGAUUGUAAAGCACUUUAAGUUGGGAAGAAGGGCAGUAAGUUAAUACCUUGCUGUUUUGACGUUACCAACAGAAUAAGCACCGGCUAACUUCGUG
rnacentral:rRNA from 1 species